GGGGCCGUAGCCUAGCAAGGUAGGGCGUCCGGCUCCAGACCGGAAGGUCGGGGGUUCAAGUCCCCCCGGCCCCA
rnacentral:tRNA from 1 species